GCAGCCUGAUGCAGCAACGCCGCGUGAGGGAUGACGGCCUUCGGGUUGUAAACCUCUUUUAGUAGGGAAGAAGCGAAAGUGACGGUACCUGCAGAAAAAGCACCGGCUAACUACGUGCCAGCAGCCGCGGUAAUACGUAGGGUGCAAGCGUUGUCCGGAAUUAUUGGGCGUAAAGAGCUCGUAGGCGGUUUGUCGCGUCUGCUGUGAAAUCUGGGGGCUCAACCCCCAGCCUGCAGUGGGUACGGGCAGACUAGAGUGCGGUAGGGGAGAUUGGAAUUCCUGGUGUAGCGGUGGAAUGCGCAGAUAUCAGGAGGAACACCGAUGGCGAAGGCAGAUCUCUGGGCCGUAACUGACGCUGAGGAGCGAAAGCAUGGGGAGCGAACAGGAUUAGAUACCCUGGUAGUCCAUGCCGUAAACGUUGGGAACUAGAUGUGGGGGCCAUUCCACGGUCUCCGUGUCGCAGCUAACGCAUUAAGUUCCCCGCCUGGGGAGUACGGCCGCAAGGCUAAAACUCAAAGGAAUUGACGGGGGCCCGCACAAGCGGCGGAGCAUGCGGAUUAAUUCGAUGCAACGCGAAGAACCUUACCAAGGCUUGACAUAUACCGGAAACGUCCAGAGAUGGUCGCCCCGCAAGGUCG
rnacentral:rRNA from 1 species